GACGAACGCUGGCGGCGUGCUUAACACAUGCAAGUCGAGCGGUAAGGCCCUUUCGGGGGUACACGAGCGGCGAACGGGUGAGUAACACGUGGGUGACCUACCCUCAGCUCUGGGAUAAGCCCGGGAAACUGGGUCUAAUACCGGAUAUGACUCCAUGACGCAUGUUGUGGGGUGGAAAGCCUUGUGCGGCUGAGGAUGGGCCCGCGGCCUAUCAGCUUGUUGGUGGGGUGAUGGCCUACCAAGGCGACGACGGGUAGCCGGCCUGAGAGGGCGACCGGCCACACUGGGACUGAGAUACGGCCCAGACUCCUACGGGAGGCAGCAGUGGGGAAUCUUGCGCAAUGGGCGAAAGCCUGACGCAGCGACGCCGCGUGAGGGAUGACGGCCU
rnacentral:rRNA from 1 species